rnacentral:rRNA from 1 species
GGAGUUAGCCGGUGCUUCUUCUGUGAGUGAUGUCCUUCCUGCCGGCUAUUAACCCGCAGGCCUUCUUCCUCACUGAAAGUGCUUUACAACCCGAAGGCCUUCUUCACACACGCGGCAUGGCUGGAUCAGGGUUGCCCCCAUUGUCCAAUAUUCCCCACUGCUGCCUCCCGUAGGAGUCUGGGCCGUGUCUCAGUCCCAGUGUGGCUGAUCAUCCUCUCAGACCAGCUACGGAUCGUCGCCUUGGUGAGCCGUUACCUCACCAACCAGCUAAUCCGACAUAGGCUCAUCCGAUAGCGCGAGGCCCGAAGGUCCCCCGCUUUCCCCCGUAGGGCGUAUGCGGUAUUAGCCUGGGUUUCCCCAGGUUAUCCCCCACUACCGGGCAGAUUCCUAUGCAUUACUCACCCGUCCGCCGCUCGCCACCAGGGAGCAAGCUCCCCGUGCUGCCGCUCGACUUGCAUGUGUUAGGCCUGCCGCCAGCGUUCAAUCUGAGCCAGU